rnacentral:rRNA from 1 species
CAGUAGCCGCGGUAACACAGAGGAUGCAAGCGUUAUCCGGAAUGAUUGGGCGUAAAGCGUCUGUAGGUGGCUUUUCAAGUCCGCCGUCAAAUCCCAGGGCUCAACCCUGGACAGGCGGUGGAAACUACCAAGCUGGAGUACGGUAGGGGCAGAGGGAAUUUCCAGUGGAGCGGUGAAAUGCGUUGAGAUCGAAAAGAACACCAACGGCGAAAGCACUCUGCUGGGCCGACACUGACACUGAGAGACGAAAGCUAGGGGAGCAAAUGGGAUUAGAUACCCCCGUAGUCCCUGUCUCUUAUAC